rnacentral:tRNA from 1 species
AGGCUUGUAGCUCAGGUGGUUAGAGCGCACCCCUGAUAAGGGUGAGGUCGGUGGUUCGAGUCCACUCAGGCCUACCAAUU